rnacentral:sRNA from 1 species
GCUGGGCAUGGUGAUGCAUGCCUGUAAUUCCAGCAGCUCAAGAGGCUGAGGCAGGAGAAUCAAGGGUUCAUACCCAGCCUCAG